AGGCAGAAGUUUCCCCUCCCCCAUUUGGAAGCUGCAGUCCAGAAUAGAAAUUCACCAGAGCAUAGGACUCAGAAGGGGAAGAAGUGAAUGGAGAAAGUUGAUUAGUCCCACAGAGUGUGCACCAUGGGACUUUUGCUGCAGACCUCACAGUGGAAAGCAGAAAAAUUUUAUCCAGCAGAACCCAAGGUACCCUGCUGUUGUUCUGCUUCUCAACUUACCAUAAGGAUUUCUAAGAUAAAUGUUUAUCAACCACCUGGGGGAAAUACAAGAAAACAUUAUAUUUUAUUAUUGUUAUGAAGUCCCUUCAACUGCCUUUUGAAUGGCCUUUUAUUUGAUGAAAAUGUCUCAACUUGAGCAAUAAAGUAAACGACUGCCCCAUGCUUCAGACAUGACACCAAGGGGAGUCAUCUGAACCUUUAUACUAAUCCAAGGUGCUUGAUGCAAGAGUUACAA
rnacentral:lncRNA from 1 species